UGCAAUGUUUUUUCAACAGUAAUAACUGUUGGAUUUUUAUAUAAACACUUGAAUGAGGAAAACUUUUGAGCGAACGAUUUAUUGAGACAAACGAUGAUAAAUUAUGUUAAGGUUAAACUUUAUUAUUUAAACUAUGGUUUGUAUCUUUUUACCUGUAAGACGAUCCUGAAAAGGAAGUUAUUUUCAGGUGAAUACAAUGAACGCUGAAUGUUAAGAUAUUAUAUUUUUGUGCCGGUAUUGAAAACCACAGUAUUUGAGUUAUAAAAAUAGGUAUAUACAUUUAAAAUUUAGAUUUUAAAAUAGUUGUUAUAUAAACAGUUAAAAUGGCAUCAAAGCAAGUAAUGUGUGAAAUGUGUUGUAAGGAAGAGGCAGUUGGAUGCUGCAAUACAUGUGGAAACAUUGGUGAAUCGUGUUCCGGAAUUCACAAGACGGGAAGGGCAUUCCAAACCCACAUUCUGAAGACGUUUGGAAAGGAUCGGUACAAUCCAAGGCGUAUUAUGUAUGAUAUCAUAGAGGAGACAUGUAAACACCAUCCGACUGAAAGAACGUUAUUGUUUUGUAAAACUCAUGAAAUUGUGAUCUGCGGUCGAUGUUUCCCUUCGGAUCAUAUCCCAUGUGGUUAUGAGAUUGUUGAUUUGAGUGAAGAGGCAGGUCAUAUUGAUAACGACCAAACUAAUGUUAUGUCUACAACUUUAAGCGAUAUCAAGAAUGACAGUAAGCGCAUGAAGGAAGAAGCUGAUAGAAAAAAAAAGAUAUACCCAUGCGGUUAAAUGCAACAGAGAACUGGAUGAUUUGAAAAAGAAACUUAAACAGAAAGUUGAAUAUUCAAUAAGAAAUUUCAGACAGGAAGUGCGUAAAUUUAAUAAUAAAAACAUAGACGCCUUUUUAUACAUUUCUUCCGUUUGUGAAGAGAAAAUGGCAUGGGCUAUUGAACAUGAAAGUCAACUCGACGAGUUUUUUAACAACUCGUUUCCAGGUCGCCUUUUUCUUAUGAGCCGGAUGUUUGACAAAGAAAUUUCAGAGGUCAAAAGACAGAUGAAAGAAGCUGAAUACAAGCAUACUAUUAAACAGUUUUGCUUAAAGGAAAACUCAGUUACCUUAAAACACCUGACUGAAGAUUUGAGCGGUGUUUGUGAUGUUCAGGAGGAAGUAGAUGGAAGAGAUGAAGGAACCACUUACUCAAUGGGGAGUUCAACUCAAAAACCGCAAAAGUUUCAGGUGGAAGAUGAUGGAAGCAGCGAAGAAAUAACUUACCCGUUUUGGGGUUUAACGGAAAACCCCAAAAAAGAGGAAGAGGAUGAAAGCAGCGAAGAUUCAUCUUUCACGGUUGGGAGUCCACCUGAAAACCUAGGAGAAUUUCAGGAGGAAAAUCAUGGAAGCAGCGAAGAAAUAACUUGCCCGCUGAGGAGUUUAACUGAACACCCAAAGAGAGAAUGCUGCGUCAAAUUAACCCACAAUGAAUGUUCAUAUAUAUUACGUACAUAUAUUGAACUGUACAAUAAUGACAAGUAUUUAGUAACACAUGCAAUGUUAACACAAACAUACAUCAGCUUUUCACCGUUAACUAUUAUAUCCUAUAUGGAGUAAAUAUUUGUUUUUGUCAGUUUUAAAGGUUGUGUUUAUUAACUUACACCGUAUUGUUUGAAACCAAAAAAAGAAGUUUAUGUUAUUGUUCGUGAAGUAUAUGGAUCAUUUAAAUGGCAUCAUGUUUGAACUUAAUGACUCAUUAUACAUUCCAAACUUGCAAAAAAUAAUCAUUAAAACAUUGGUUUAAGCCAAACUGGACGUAUUUGAUGCAGAAACAAUCAGUAUAAUUGUAGACAAGCAAUCAGUUCGUGAAGUUGAUGCUACAUCAUGGUGAGUGGGCUUGAAUCCAUGGUUUUGGCAUUGCAUUUUAUUUAUAUACGUAUUAAUUGGUGUUUGAAAAGCCGCCAUUUGAUUAAAAACGUCAAGGGGCAUAAGUGUAAGAGUCAUUCCAUGAAGAGAUUAUAAAGGGUAUUGAAUCGUUUCAGGAGGAAGAUGAUGGAAGCAGCGAUAAAUUAGGUUACCCAUUGUGCAGUUCAACUGAGACACCGAAAAAAUCACGACAGCAGAUCUUGUGCGAGAGAUCCGAAUUCAUGAGAAAAAGAGCAACGGCCUACAAUUUCAAGUCAUUUAUUUCUGAUUAUUACGAUCAAUAUUGCGUAAAAAUCCCAAACUCAUAAGAAAAAGAACAUUUUAUAAUCUGUUGACUUGACAGCAAUGGUGUUUGCCAUAACGUAACCAUGAAUUCAUCAACAAUAGUCUUAUAGUCAGAUAUAAAGAACAUUUUAUUUUCAAUUUCACAUUUCCAGUGACUUAUGUAUACUAAUAUUAUUUCCAUGUUUGCUAUCGUCGAGACAUUCCUACAAUAAAGUACAAUAGUUAAAAUGCAAUAUGGGUUUCAUAUUCAUAAACUCAAUAAAUAAACAAAUUAAUUCAGAAACCUAGCCUAGAACUGCCUUAUCAAUCUUCUAUUUAGCAGCGUUCUCGUCAUUGUUGGCGUUUCGUCUUUGCAAUUGAAAUCAUAUAAAACACAUAACAUGACCCUUAUCCGUAUAUAUUAUUAUCCACCAUUCGUUCAAUCUGCCCAAACUAAAUUAUUGCACAAAUUGGAAUAACUGGCUUUUCUUUAGUCAUAUUAUAUUUUCAGGGAAUCAUAAGAUAGUUAUUCAGAUGUGCUAAAUAAAAUGAAACCAAACUGUUAUGAACAAAUAAUAUAUUUCAAAGUAUAUUGUUAUAUGUCAAACCUUAUCCGUCUUUUUGUAGGCCCUUGACUAGUAGUUUAGAUGCCACAGGGCUUGACGUUACGACUGGACGCGACAUCCCGGCAAGGCCAUGGGGUCCCGACUGUUUAUGGAUGAACAAUCGACAAUAUGGGCGCGACAAAGGCGAUCGUCGAUACGCUGGGAAUGGAGGCGGUCGACGCCAUGGCGACAGCGACCCUACUGAAGGUUUCGGAGACGGAGAUUAUACUAUAAGUUUUUAGUUGAACAAUUUUAAUUUUCAGACGGAUUAGUUUCGUGAACUAAAAUUAGCAAACACGUAUUAUUGUGAGAAUGCGGUUUCAUCAUCACUGACACUCGCGAACUAUAUUCUAUAUUCUGCUAGCUUAUGCAGAAGUAUUAUGUCAACGGUCCGGUUGUAACUGCAACACAUUAUCGACAAACAUAUACAAUAUUUUAGUAUUAUUUAUUAAAACAUCAUAAUUAAAAAAGUCAGGUUGUGUGAAAACAAUAGUUAUGCAUUGUAUGUACUUCAAUAUUCUAAUCAACUUUUACUUUUUGGUUUGUCUCAUCACUAACGUCAUGCAACCAUAAAGGAACCAGUUUGCAUUACUUGUUAUAUUAUAUAUAUAUUAUUGCGGAUUGAAUCUAGAAUUUCGAUUUCGACUAGCUUUAUUUAUUUUUGCAACAUUGCAUAAUAUUCAUAUACAUAUUCUUCCUAUAGUUGUACUUACUAAAUCGCUUUUAAUGUAAUAUCUACAGAGUUUCUUCGUUACUUCAAAAAGAUGCAAAUCGACAUCUAGAAUUUCGUUUUUGUUUAGAUUUCUCAAUAUCUCCGCAUCAUAAAUCGUUUGUUCUUUAUGAAAUGUUGAUCUUUUUAUUUGAUUUUAGUCUCAUCUAUGCAUUGUACACUCAUGAA